CCUACGGGUGGCAGCAGUGAGGAAUAUUGGUCAAUGGGCGCGAGCCUGAACCAGCCAAGUAGCGUGAAGGAUGACUGCCCUACGGGUUGUAAACUUCUUUUAUAAAGGACUAAAGUGAGGCACGGUUGCCUUUUUGUAUGUACUUUAUGAAUAAUGAUCGGCUAACUCCGUGCCAGCAGCCGAGGUAAUACGGAGGAUCCGAGCUUUAUCCGGAUUUAUUGGGUUUAAAGGGAGCGUAGAUGGGUUGUUAAGUCAGUUGUGAAAGUUUGCGGCUUAAACGUAAAAUUGCAAUUGAUACUGGCAGCCUUGAGUACAGUUGAGGUAGGCGGAAUUCGUGGUGUAGCGGUGAAAUGCUUAGAUAUCACGAAGAACUCCGAUUGCGAAGGCAGCUUACUAAACUGCCACUGACACUGAUGCUCGAAAGUGUGGGUAUCAAACAGGAUUAGAUACCCUGGUAGUC
rnacentral:rRNA from 1 species